rnacentral:rRNA from 1 species
CAGUCGCCGCGGUAAUACAGAGGGUGCGAGCGUUAAUCUGAUUUACUGGGCGUAAAGCGUGCGUAGGCGGCUUCUUAAGUCGGAUGUGAAAUCCCUGAGCUUAACUUAGGAAUUGCAUUCGAUACUGGGAAGCUAGAGUAUGGGAGAGGAUGGUAGAAUUCCAGGUGUAGCGGUGAAAUGCGUAGAGAUCUGGAGGAAUACCGAUGGCGAAGGCAGCCAUCUGGCCUAAUACUGACGCUGAGGUACGAAAGCAUGGGGAGCAAACAGGAUUAGAUACCCCCGUAGUCCCUGUCUCUUAUAC